GACGAACGCUGGCGGCGUGCUUAACACAUGCAAGUCGAACGGAAAGGCCCUGCUUUUGUGGGGUGCUCGAGUGGCGAACGGGUGAGUAACACGUGAGUAACCUGCCCUUGACUUUGGGAUAACUUCAGGAAACUGGGGCUAAUACCGGAUAGGAGCUCCUGCUGCAUGGUGGGGGUUGGAAAGUUUCGGCGGUUGGGGAUGGACUCGCGGCUUAUCAGCUUGUUGGUGGGGUAGUGGCUUACCAAGGCUUUGACGGGUAGCCGGCCUGAGAGGGUGACCGGCCACAUUGGGACUGAGAUACGGCCCAGACUCCUACGGGAGGCAGCAGUGGGGAAUAUUGCACAAUGGGCGGAAGCCUGAUGCAGCAACGCCGCGUGCGGGAUGACGGCCUUCGGGUUGUAAACCGCUUUCGCCCGUGACGAAGCGUGAGUGACGGUAAUGGGUAAAGAAGCACCGGCUAACUACGUGCCAGCAGCCGCGGUGAUACGUAGGGUGCGAGCGUUGUCCGGAUUUAUUGGGCGUAAAGGGCUCGUAGGUGGUUGAUCGCGUCGGAAGUGUAAUCUUGGGGCUUAACCCUGAGCGUGCUUUCGAUACGGGUUGACUUGAGGAAGGUAGGGGAGAAUGGAAUUCCUGGUGGAGCGGUGGAAUGCGCAGAUAUCAGGAGGAACACCAGUGGCGAAGGCGGUUCUCUGGGCCCUUCCUGACGCUGAGGAGCGAAAGCGUGGGGAGCGAACAGGCUUAGAUACCCUGGUAGUCCACGCUGUAAACGGUGGGUACUAGGUGUGGGGUCCAUUCCACGGGUUCCGUGCCGUAGCUAACGCUUUAAGUACCCCGCCUGGGGAGUACGGCCGCAAGGCUAAAACUCAAAGGAAUUGACGGGGCCCCGCACAAGCGGCGGAGCAUGCGGAUUAAUUCGAUGCAACGCGUAGAACCUUACCUGGGUUUGACAUGGAUCGGGAGUGCUCAGAGAUGGGUGUGCCUCUUUUGGGGUCGGUUCACAGGUGGUGCAUGGCUGUCGUCAGCUCGUGUCGUGAGAUGUUGGGUUAAGUCCCGCAACGAGCGCAACCCUUGUUCACUGUUGCCAGCACGUUAUGGUGGGGACUCAGUGGAGACCGCCGGGGUCAACUCGGAGGAAGGUGGGGAUGACGUCAAGUCAUCAUGCCCCUUAUGUCCAGGGCUUCACGCAUGCUACAAUGGCUGGUACAGAGAGUGGCGAGCCUGUGAGGGUGAGCGAAUCUCGGAAAGCCGGUCUCAGUUCGGAUUGGGGUCAGCAACUCGACCUCAUGAAGUCGGAGUCGCUAGUAAUCGCAGAUCAGCAACGCUGCGGUGAAUACGUUCCCGGG
rnacentral:rRNA from 1 species